rnacentral:lncRNA from 10 species
GUUGUACGCAUACCCAACUGAAGCUUUCUUCCCUUCUCCAGUGGAGUGCACCUGCACAGAAACUCUCUCUGUACCACGUACCUGCUGCCAGAAGCUGGGAAGGAGUGGUGCUGGUGAUUCAAAACUGAUUUUCCUGCCUCUUCGAUGCCUCUUUUAGUGACAUACAGUUAAGACCAGGCACUUAAAUCCACUUCUGAGGAGAAGAAUGAAAGCCAAGGCAGAUAUGAAAGAGCCAUGGACUGCUGACCUUUGAACCCUGAGAGGAGUGCAGAGCUCACUCAUAUUCUAAUGAAGUAUUUUUCUACCCUUAUUAUGAUUCUGACUCACUAUACUUCUUAUCAAAAUUACAUGAUGAGGAAUUGUAUGUUUGAAUAGCAGUCAAAUGAGAAGAGACUUUAUCAUUUAGCAAAUCUAUCUGCCCAAUUUCGUAGCUU